AUUGAACGCUGGCGGCAGGCCUAACACAUGCAAGUCGAACGAGUGGCGGACGGGUGAGUAAUGUCUGGGAAACUGCCCGAUGGAGGGGGAUAACUACUGGACACGGUAGCUAAUACCGCAUACCAUCGGAUGUGCCCAAAUGGGAUUAGCUAGUAGGUGGGGUAACGGCUCACCUAGGCGACGAUCCCUAGCUGGUCUGAGAGGAUGACCAGCAAAACGGGAACGUAGACACGGUCCAGACUCCUACGGGAGGCAGCAGUGGGGAAUAUUGCACAAUGGGCGCAAGCCUGAUGCAGCCAUGCCGCGUGUAUGAAGAAGGCCUUCGGGGUGGAAAGUACUUUCAGCGAGGAGGCGUUACUCGCAGAAGAAGCACCGGCUAACUCCGUGCCAGCAGCCGCGGUAAUAC
rnacentral:rRNA from 1 species